AUUGUUUAUUCGUUGGUCCCUGGUGGAUAGUUGUCUCAUUGUUUUUUCGUUGGUCCCUGGUUGAUAGUUUUGUUCAUUGUUUAUUCGUUGGUCCCUGGUGGAUAGUUGUCUCAUUGUUUAUUCAUUGUUCCCUGGUGGAUAGUUGUGUUCAUUGUUUAUUCGUUGGUCCCUGGUGGAUAGUUGUCUCAUUGUUUAUUCGUUGGUCCCAGGUGGAUAGUUGUUUCAUUGUUUAUUCGUUGGUCCCAGGUGGAUAGUUGUCUCAUUGUUUAUUCGUUGGUCCCAGGUGGAUAGUUGUCUCAUUGUGUAUUCGUUGAUCCCUGGUGGAUAGUUGUCUCAUUGUUUAUCCGUUGGUCCCUGGUGGAUAGUUGUCUCAUUGUUUAUUCGUUGGUCCCUGGUUGAUAGUUGUGUCAUUGUUUAUUCGUUGGUCCCUGGUUGAUAGUUGUGUUCAUUGUUUAUUCGUUGGUCCCUGGUGGAUAGUUGUCUCAUUGUUUAUUCGUUGGCCCCUGGUGGAUAGUUGUUUUCAUUAUUCAUCCGUUGGUCCCUUAUUCAGAAUGAUCGAGUAAUAAUCAGUACACUAGAGUACAAUUACUGCUAAUUUUAGACUUUCUGGUUUGUAAUGAU
rnacentral:lncRNA from 1 species